rnacentral:lncRNA from 1 species
AAAAUAUACACUUACAAGUUACAAUAAUACACUCAAAAGGUGAAUAUAGCUUAUUUAUAUAUGAAAUAUACAUUGACUACACAUAAAUAUACACUAAUUAUACGUAUAGAUUCGAUUUUGAUAAACUCAAAAUCGCCUCUAAACAGUCCUAAAAUUUAGAUAUGAAAUCGACUUGAUGAAUUCCAUAUAUAAAUUUACUCGAAAUGAAUUCAAAUUUUGUUUUUUAAAAAAAAAAAGAACAAGAAGAAGAAGAUAUAUAUAUACAGGUCGUGAUGUGACAGUUUCCUAGCCCCUUCUUAUAGGGAAGCCGCUCCCCGGUCGUUACUUCAAAGAUGGAUUGUCAACCAAUUAUAUCUUUUCCUUUGCCAAAUACAAGUGUACAAGUAUCAAUGCAAGAGGUGUUGCCUAGAGCACGAACAACGGUGUAAUAACCAUCAGCAAAUCAGAACUACACUAAGUCAAAGAUAAAACAUCAUGCAGUUAUGCAGUAUAUUUAGCAAACUUGUUAGCGAUAUGUCUCUAACAGUAAUACUUUUCUGUACAGUGAACUGAAGCUGAGCAUUAGGUAGUGGAGUAAGAGAACCACCAAGGAGAAUUUUGGUGCUGAUCAAUUGUUGAUAUGUUGUCCGGAGUUGUAGAUAAAGUGCUGCUUUGCUUUUUUGUCUGACGAGAGUUGUUUGUAUAUCACCUAUUAUUAAUAAUGCAUUGGCGUGCCUUUUCUUGUGAGAGAUGGCUUUUUUAUCCAUCGACAAACCUAUAAGAGAAAACAUGUGUAAUUAGGCCAACAAAUUUCCAGACCACACAAGUAAAGAAAUUUGUGAAAGCAAUAUUACGAUAGAACAGUAGAUUAAAAAUUUUCAUUCAGCCUUGUUAAUCAUGAUGCACAUUUUAAUAGGAAAAUGAUUUUUAGCCGUUGAAAUAGCUUAAUUUGACCUGACACAUAUAUCGACCUUUAGUUUUAUGUAGAAUGAUGUAGAAUGGGAAGUCAUACUCAUGGUCUUUGUUAGUUGUGGAGAGGUUGGGCACACCUCAAUUUUCAUGAGGUUUUCUGGGUUUGGAGAAGAUAUAAUUACUUUUGAAUGACUUAAAACUGGUCAAUCUUGAGAGGCACGUCUUUAGGUAUAAUAGGGAGAUAGAUUUAUCACUUUUUCCUAUUGUGUCUUGUUUACUUAGUAACAUUUUGAAUUAAUAAUGCUGGAGAUAACAAAUGAUAACAUUGAAGAUUUCAGAGCAGAGAUCAAGUUUGUGUUGCAGCAGUUGCUUGAGUCUUUGGUUCUUCUGGCAAUACCCUUAUUAGCAAUUGACAAAAGCAAUGAUCCCUUCACUACAUCUCUAAUCUUAUAUAGUAAUACGUUAAAAAGAAGUUAUCACUUAAGAGGAAAACCUUACUAGAGUUAGUAGGAAGAAAAUGUCUGCUACCAACAAUAAAGUUGCUUGCCAUAUUCAAUUUCUUGUAGCUUUGGUUUUCAAGUAAUAAGGCUUUGUUUUGCCUGUAAGGUUACCUAGAAAACAUUUCUGGUGUUGACAAGAUCUACCACUUUGCUAGAAUUUCUUUGUUUAUUUUUCUUAUAUAACUUUUUGUAUCCUUUGAAAAUGACUGAAAUUUUGACAAUUAAGGUGAAAGGCUAAAUCUUUUUAACUUUUGUGUGUUGUACCUACAAGAUCUAUAAGAAAGAUUUUUAGAACUUGAAUUUGAUAAAUCCUUAACUCCUCUGUUUUGGAAAUGGAGAAUUUUCUGGCAGUAAAUGUUUAUAUUAUAUUCAUCACUCACAUGCUAGUCUAUUAAACCACUUCCCAUUUAUGUUAAUCAGAGAGCAACACGAGUAAACGACAUACGCGAAAUGUAAGAGUUGAAGUUUAGGAGUUCAUUUAGAACCCACGAUCAACACUAUAGAUCAGUAACAAUUGAAGCAAAAAGUUUUCGGAUGACUCAAUCUCCAUAAAUGAUGUUUUGUUUUACGCAUUGAGAUCAUGACAUAAAACUCAUCUAUUAGAAGCAAAGGUAAAUCAGAAAGCUGCUCUAUGAAGUACUCAACAAUAUCUUUCCUCAACAUACAUCAAACACAAAGUCAGUAAUUUGCAAUCUACGUAAACAUAUGUAUGUAAACUAUACGCACAUAUCAAAAACCUGCGUAGAACAAAGAAAUAAACAGCAAUUUAGCACUGUUUGCAUUUGUAGGUAAGUAGGCAAUUAACUCAUUAGUGUAUGGUGGUCUAGUUGCCUCCUUAGGGACAAUAGAUGAGUCCUCGAAAUAGUUUGAUUUUAUUCUGGCAAUAAUUAUCAGUUAUACUUCUUUCUUUGGUAUAAAUUCAUUCACACAGAACAAGAAAAAGAUGAGCUUUGAAAUAAAAGCGAAAAAGAUUCAAAGAAAAACUCCAUUUGCUUUGGAUAAUGAAAGUGAAGAAAUAAGUUCCAUAGUAACAUUCCACAUUCUCAUAGGACAUGCUUAGGUUGGAUUACUUAAACUGCUUUAUUUAUUGCUAGAAUACCAAAUGCUGCUCUAACUGUUAACAGAACUCUCAUAGGACAUGAUCUAGCAAGUGUCCUUCUGUGGCGAAGUUAUCAUAUUUGAGGAAAAUGUACUGACAAAGUUCAUUCCAAGGAAAAAAAGAACACUAACUGAAGGAAAUAUCAUUUUGAACAAGUUUAUGCUUUCAUUUUGAGAGGAAUAUAGAAAUAUAUAAUCAAUUUUUUUACCAAAAAAGAGAGAAAUCAUUGUAUAACGAAAAAAACGAUAUUUAUAGAGAGAAGUUGUUGAACAACAAAACAAGCCAAAAUUAUGUUCCAGCCAGAAUCAGAAACUGGAUUCACACAUGCAAUCACAUGACAUGCAGUAGCAAAACAGAUGUUAAUCAAUAGGAACACAUACAUACGCGUUAAACCUCAAAAAGGAGGAACUAUGAAUUCCUAAAUCGGGGAAGGAGAGAACAUCAACGAAGUCAAAUCAAAACCUAAAAUUGAAAAGAAAAGCAGUUAUGGAAUAAAGAAGAUUGAGGUGAAAGUAAAGGUUUUCCAAGACUAUUUCUAAUAAUGAAGCGAAUGUAUGUGCAUAAUCAACGCAAAUAUUUGAGACUAAGAAGAAACGGAAAUAAAAAGAAAAACAGAAAUCACCACAGAUGAAAUCGGUAAUAUUGAACAGAAAGAGGAAAAGAGCACUCACAGAGUAUAUCAGGUCAGAGUGAUUUUGGAAAUCCAAAUACGAAGAAGAAAUUCAGAUACAACUGUUUGUUGUUAAAGCAUAGAUGUUAAAACUGUGAGACCUCCAAAUUCAAACAAGGAUAGUACAAAGAAAUGAGUAUUUCAGAGCACCGCUUGAAGACAAGAG